CGGGGAGUAGCGCAGCCUGGUAGCGCACUUCACUGGGGGUGAAGGGGUCGCAGGUUCGAAUCCUGUCUCUCCGACCA
rnacentral:tRNA from 1 species